AUCCAGCUGAUGAGUCCCAAGUAGGAAAAAACGCGUGUCCUGGAU
rfam:Schistosoma curassoni strain Dakar, Senegal genome assembly, scaffold: SCTD_contig0024870